UUCAUGCUCUGUCUCUCCCUGUCUCAAAAAUAAAUAAGACGUUUAAAAAAAAAAUUAAAAAAAGAAAAAAGAACAAGUAGCUUGGGAGGCUUGUUGAGACGGUUCUCUGAGGCUGUUGAACGAGAGGGGCUGAGGAAAAGUGAGCCACAUAUACGUACAGAUGGGAAGAAAGCAGUUAGUGGCCGGGAAAGUACCCUGGGAUCUUGUAUGUCAUGAGGAUCCCGUCUCUGCCCUGCUCUAGUGGCUACCUCGUCAUCGGUGCUGGUUAAAAAGACGGCUCCCCGGGCACGUCCUCUGGAGGUGCGGAUCCGGGGACCUGGCACAGGGCACCUUCACGAACAAGAACUUGACAGAUUUCUCGGGUCCCCUGGUCUGGAAUCCUCUGUCUUCAGGAAUGUGCUGCCAUGGGCGUUCGCGGGAUCCGAGCGUGCGUACCUCAUUCUGCUUUUAUAGAAAUGUUCUUGUAAAACCGUACUGAAUCAACAUUAAAGAGAAGUUUGAAAACCCGAACUCUAUUUCUGCUCUUGGAAUACAGCGGGUCCACCUCGCUGCAGGUUGUCAGAUGCUGUAAGCACGGGUUACGUGCUUGUACGCGUAAAAACACGGGAAGUUUUAUUCUGCUUCUUUUGCAUGUAGAAAACCUAUCAGAAACAUCUUUUCCUUGAUGUUGUAUAAUGUUGGUGAUUAUAAUGUUAAGUAUCUGUAAUUUACCUAUUUACAAAGUAUUGGAUGUUUUGGUUGUUGCUAGUUUUUUGUUUACAGUACACACGACAUGAUAAACACUUUGUGUGUGUAGGUUUUACCCUUAAAAUUUUUGAAAAUGGUGGGGCACCUGGGUGGGUCAGUCGGUUGAGCAUCCGGCUUUGGCUCAGGUCACGAUCUGGUAGUUUGGGAGUUCGAGCCCCGUGUCGGGCUCUGGGCCGACAGCUCGGAGCCUGGAGCCUGCUUCAGAUUCCGUGUCUCCCUCUCUCUCUGUCCCUCCCCUGCUCACACUCUGUCUCUUUCUCUCUCAAAAUAAACUAAACAUUAAAAAAAUUAAAAUUUUUGAAAAUAGUUUUUCAGGAAUGGUAUUAGUGAAUUAACAAGUUUGAGUAUUUUGAAGUCAAAGGGAUUAAGAUUGGAACAUAAAAUAUUUCCUCAUUGGUAGAAAUUGGUUAACUACUUUUUUUUUAAGUUUAUGUAUUUAUUUAUUUCAAGAGACAGAGACAGAGCAGGGAGAGGGGCAGAGAGAGGAGAGAGAGAGAAUCCCAAGCAGCGUCCUCACUGUCAGCACAGAGCCAGACACAGGGCUUGAUUCCACGGCCCUGAGAUCAUGACUUGAGCCGAAAUCAAAAGUUGGACUGUCACUCAGCUGAGCUACCCUGGAGCCCUGGUUUACUGCUUUCACGUUUAAAAUGCUUGCAAACCUGUGGGGCACCUGGGGGGCUCAGUUGGUUGAGCAUCCGACCUCAGCUCAGGCCGUGAUCUCACAGUUUGUGGGUUCGAGCUCCGCGUCGGGCUCUGUGCCAACAGCUCAGGGCCUGGAGCUGCUUCCGAUUCUGUGUCUCCCUCUCUCUCUGCCCCUUCCCUGCUCGUGCUCUGUCUCUCUCUGUCUCUCUGUCUCUCUCUCUCUCUCUCUCUCUCAAAAAUAAACAUUAGAAAAAGUUUUUAAAAAUGCUUGCAAACCUGUAAUGUAUUUCCUCCAAGUCUUUAGAUUUAAAAGUCCAUCUCCCUUUAUUUGUAUCAUAAUUGUUUGGUGGGAAUGCUGUUUAUAUAAGGAUGGCCCCUCUGGUGAGACCCUGGGAUAUCUGGGGCAAAACCCAUGUCACUGAAAGCAAAGGAACAACAAGUCAAAUGUCCUGAGGCAGAAUAUGUGAGUGUGGGGGGGCGGGUAGGGGCAGAUCUGGGGGGUCCUAUAGGCCAUACAAGCACUUUGGGGUAUACACUGUGUGAGAAAGGGAACAGUAGGGAGUUUUGAGCAGAGACGUCACAUGUAUGUCUCAUGUCACUGGACAUAACAGUUAGAGGAGCAGCGAGGACGGAAGCAGGGAGACCAGCUGGAGGCUCCCGAGUCAGGCAAGAGAGGAAGGUGGCCAGAGGAGUGGAAGGUGGUGGGAGAGACCAGAGUUUGGGCACCCUUCACAUGUAGAUGAAAAUAAAAUACAGAUGCCAUAUGGAGAGGAGUCCGUGACUGCAGGAUCUGAGCAAACGAGGAAGGGAGCAGACAUUUCCCGAGAUGGGGAAGAUUUACAGGAGCAGGUCUGAAGGAGGGGACCAAGAGCUUCGCUUUGAAGGUGUUAGAUUUCCUUUUAAAACCGGCUUUAUGGGGGCGCCGGCUGGCUCGGUCAGCGGAGCGCGUGGCCCUUGAUCUGGGAGCUGUGAGUCUGAGCCUCACGUUGGGUGUAGAGAUGACUUCAAUAAAUAAACUUCAAGGGGGACAAGACAGAAGAGCCUCUUAAAUACAGAGAACAAACUGAGGGUUGCUGGAGCGGUUGUGGGGGGGUGGGCUAAAUGGGUGAUGGGGCGUUAAGGAGGGCACUUGUUGGGACAAGCACUGGGUGUUGUAGGUAGGGGAUGAAUCCCUGGAAUCUACUCCUGAAGUCAUGAUUGCACUAGAUGCUAACUAACUUGGAUGUAAAUUACAAAGUACAAAUAGUCAUUUCCUUUUUCCCGACGUACAACCACAUCAUCACAUUAUAGUGCGAUUUUGGCUUAUAUUGUUUACGUCUCCAGGGUCCGAGAGGUCCUGGGGAUGGCCCUUGCCCCUGAGAGUCACUUGCCUACAGGAGCGAUCGCAGGACCUCGGAUGCUAGCCAUCGGCACUGACCCAGGACAGUGGCACAUCCCCCCCCCACCUGGGAGCCUGGCCUACUGCGGAUCCCGAGCAUGGAGCAGUCACGACCCGGGCGAUUACUGAUGUCUUUGUUUUACAGCCCUUGGCUUCCUGACAUUAUUUUUAAUAGCUCUGCCACAAUCAUGUAAUAGCAUCAUGUAUGAGGUCAUUGGGGUCCAGGACACCAGAGGGGUUGGGCAGAGACUUGAAAGAGCCGCGUGAGGCAGCACAUCCCUGGGGGGCCCACUGAGGGCCGCAUCGUGGAGCUGAGAUCGCAUGGCGGAGAAACAGAAACGCAUCGUCUGGUCACUGCAGCAGGAGAAGACAACGGUGUUGAGAUCGACGUGUCCUGACGGCGUUUGCAUUUGACCAGCAGGAUGGCAGAACGUGAGCUCAUGUCUGCAGAGGAGGGUCGGUUUGUCAACGAGAAGGAAGCGGUUGAUAUACUCAGGGGGUGACAGCCUCCUUUUCGCCCCUCCCCCCUUUGUGACAGCGGGGAUGGUCAUAGUGAUGUCACACUUGGUCUUCGUUUUCAGCCCAAGACACUACAGCUUCUCCACUAAUGCUCAAAACACCAGAGAGCAGGUGUCAGAGGGCCGGAGAAAUCUUUAAAAUGCUGAGAAGGGAACACGUUGAGAGAGAAAGAGAGCAGCUGGGUGCUGGGUCCAUCUGUCUGGUUCGUCUGGGAUCCGUGCGUGCGUUGGGCCCCAGCAGGAAGCUGAACCCCCUCAUUUGGGCCCCUGCAGAUGUUUUGGGGACUGUCGCUGACUACACUGAUUACGUGACACAGGAUUUCCUUCCUGAGCGCCUGUGGACGAAGGCGUUCUCUGGUCUCAACAAGGAAGAGCUUCGUCAGUCUCCCAAGAGCACGCCGUGCGUCCUGGGCUCGAACCCGCUUCCCUCUGCCCUGGAACCUUCCACUCUCAGUUCAGGAGUUUUCUGGAAUUGUUGAGACACUUGAUAUCCUCUUUGGAAACAGUGGCGCGUGAAUAAACAGUUAAAAACUCCAGGGGCGAAGUCUUUGGCAGUGGCUGACCUUGGGCAAGUGUCCUGUGGCUUCACGGCCCAGUUUUUGCCAGCGGCCGUGUCGUGCAGCGUGUAGGCUCUGGACUCUGGCCACUGGGGGUCACGUCUUCAGUCUAUCACUCACCUCCCAUUUGAGCUAAGACGCGUCACCUGAUCUCCCUGCUGGUCGUUUGCUGCUCGAUGACCCAUCCCAUUUCUUUGCCUGCUUCACAUAACUACAGGAAACGCAUUUGCCUUCGCCACCCUGAAUUUUAGUGCCGAGAGAGUCCGUGCGUUUGUUACACAUAUUGCUGUGUAACCAAUUAUCCCCCAAUCCAGCAAAUUAAAGAGUGCACAUACAUCA